AAUGUUUGUGAUGGAUGAUUCGACUUUUGCUUUGAUGAAGGACGCAUCACGCCGCGAUACGUGGUAUGAUAUGUCAAAUCAAUACUAUCAUAUUUCUGAACACACAAAUCAGGACAUCUGCUCUUGAUCGUAAAUUUCGUGUUGCUCAAACUUACUGACUCCGUUGGUAUGUAGUAUAAGGUGUGAACACGCUUGUCGUCCAUACAUGGCAGGCUCGCUCACGAUAGUUUCUAUUGGCGUCGCCACCCGAUCGACAACCGAGAUUGACGCGAGUUACCGACUGAAUUUAAGCAUAUUAAUAAGUCGUGGAAUAAAAACCAAAAGGGGUUUCUUGAUUAGCGGCGAGCGAAACAGAAUGAGAUUCUCACGAUAAUCUUCUCGAAGAGUUGUUCGUGUAGAGAGGAUUAAUGCUGUGGUAGGCUCUAAUGUGGGGUAGACAGUUCUGGCCGCUUUCACGGAUACAAGUUCCGAGUCAUUAAAGCCACCCAACACUCUUCCGAUUGAAAGAAGUAGCGAUUCUCGAGAGUGAAACGUAAAAGGUGGUAAUCUUCACCCAAGUCUAGAUAUAAACAAAAGAUCGAUAGAGAACAAGUACCGUGAGGGAAAAUUGAAAAGUGCUCCGAUAGAAGUCUCAAAAGACCUGAAAUCACAAUUAUGGAAGCCUGAUUGUCGAGAAUAGUAUUCGGCUGACAUUGUUCGGAUGGUAUCAGCGACGGCAUCGCCGACAAGAAGGACCCGUCUUGAAACACGGACCGAGGAGUCAAUCACAUCUGCGAGUAUACCAAUUCUUAGAUUGCUGUACGUAGAGAAAACAUGUGCUGUAUACCAAACACCAGCGGCCGGGGUAUUCCCGAGUCUAAGCAGAUGUGUUUGGACCCGAAAGAUGGUGAUCUAUGCCUGGGUAGAGUUAAGCCACGGGAAACUCUGGUGGAGGCUCAAAGCGAUACUGACGUGCAAAUCGUUCGUGAAAUUUAGGCAUAGGGGCGAAAGACUAAUCGAACCAUCUAGUAGCUGGUUCCCUCCGAAGUUUCCCUUAGGAUAGCUGGAAGAAUUAGAAAAAAAUCCGGUAAAGCGAAUGAUUAGAGGACACGGGAGCCUAGGUGCGCUCGGCCUAUUCUCAAACUUGAAAUGGAUUUGCGCUGUUUUCCCUUCAUUGGAAUGCAGCGGAAAGUCAAUCUUCUUAGUGGGCCAUUUUUGGUAAGCAGAACUGGCGAUGAGGGAUGCUCCUAACGUAUGGCAAAGGUGCCCAAGGGUAGUAGAUCAGAUACCACGAAAGGUGUUGCUUCAUUGAAACAGCAGGGCGGUGGUCAUGGAAGUUGAAAACCGCUAAGGAGUGUGUAACAACUCACCUGCCGAAUGAACUAGCCCUGAAAAUGGAUGGCGCUCAAGCUACUCACCGUUACCAUACCGGCUAUUCGAUGUAUUGAUGGCUGCGUAGGAGGGCGUGAUUCUAACUUUGAAGAGCGUCAUGUGAAUACGCUUGGAGUUAUAUUCAGUGCAGAUCUUGGUGUUAGUAGCAACUAGUCAUGUGCAAUGCAUGACAACUGUCGUGGAUCAGGGUUCCGAGCCAACAGUAAAUGUUCUCGGGUUAGUCGGUCCUAAGAGGGAGGUCUUCACGGCUUCAAACUGGCAAAGUCGUCAAAUCUCGAAAGGGGAAAAGGUUAAUAUUCCAUCACUUGGUCAUAAAAAAGUGGUGACACGAUAGCAAACUACUAGUCAAGUAAUUCUCCGAGAAGCGUUACCUUUGCUUCUGAAUUUAUCGAAAUUCUUGAAAUGGGUUGGCCUGCGACAGAGUUACAGAUAAUGAUCAACAGCUUAUUUGGGUUGUUCGGCAGCAAUUAUUUGGUCCCUGAAAAGCGGUUUGGUAAUUGUUGUGAUCAAUCCGUACCCAAAACCGCAUCAGGUCUCCGAGGUCAGAAGCCUAAAGUUUGAUAGAAUAAAGUGAUUGAGGGAAGUCGGCAAAUUGGAUCUGUAACUUUGGGAAAAAGGUUGGCUCUGGGCAUCAUUCCGCAACAAGGUCUCCUUGGCGAUCUACGAAUCACGGAUUUUUUUGAUAAUCCCAGAACUGGUGUUGACUAGAGGAAUCUGACUGUUUAAUUAAAACAAAGCAUUGCGAAAAGCUCAAAAGCUAUUCACGCAAUGUGAUUUCUGCCCAGUGCUCUGAAUGUCAUUGUGAUGGAAUUCACAUAAGCGCGGGUAAACGGCGGGAGUAACUAUGACUCUCUUAAGGUAGCCAAAUGCCUCGUCGUCUAAUUAAUGACGCGCAUGAAUGGAUCAACGAGAUUCCUACUGUCCCCAAUUACCGUCUAGCGAAACCACAGCCAAGGGAACGGGCUUGGCAGCAUAAGCGGGGAAAGAAGACCCUGUUGAGCUUGACUCUAGUUUAAUUCUGUGAAGUGGCUCAUGAGGUGUAGAAUACGUGGGAGCACUUGUGCGCAGUUGAAAUACCACGACUCGUGAUGUUGCUCUGCUUCCCUGAUGAUUUGAGACUGCUUUGCAGCGCUUAUUAUAAGUUUGAUGAUCGAAUAAAACUGUGCGGGAACAAAAUUAGAUGGGGAGUUUGGCUGGGGCGGCACAUCUGCUAAACAACAACGCAGAUGCCCAAAGGUUGACUCAAAGAGAACAGAACUCUCUUGUAGACCGAAAGGGGAAAGGUCAGCUUGAUUUUAAUUCUCAGUGCAAGUAAUAACUGCGAAAGCACGGCCUAUCGAUCCUUUAAGCCCAAAAAGACUUUGGCUAGAGGUGACAGAAAAGUUACCACAGGGAUAACUGG
rnacentral:rRNA from 1 species